GAGGGUAUAGUUCAAAGUGGUAGAGCCCAUGCUUAGCAUGCACAGAGUCCUGGGUUCAAUCCCCAGUACCUCCU
rnacentral:tRNA from 1 species